ACGAACGCUGGCGGCGUGCUUAACACAUGCAAGUCGAACGGAAAGGCCCUGCUUUUGUGGGGUGCUCGAGUGGCGAACGGGUGAGUAACACGUGAGUAACCUGCCCUUGACUUUGGGAUAACUUCAGGAAACUGGGGCUAAUACCGGAUAGGAGCUCCUGCUGCAUGGUGGGGGUUGGAAAGUUUCGGCGGUUGGGGAUGGACUCGCGGCUUAUCAGCUUGUUGGUGGGGUAGUGGCUUACCAAGGCUUUGACGGGUAGCCGGCCUGAGAGGGUGACCGGCCCCAUUGGGACUGGGAUACGCCCCAGACUCCUAGGGGGGGCAGCGGGGGGGAAUUUUGCACAAUGGGCGGAAGCCUGAUGCAGCACCGCCGCGUGGGGGAUGACGGCCUUCGGGUUGUAAACCGCUUUCGCCUGUGACGAAGCGUGAGUGACGGUAAUGGGUAAAGAAGCACCGGCUAACUACGU
rnacentral:rRNA from 1 species